rnacentral:rRNA from 1 species
GUGGGGAAUAUUGCACAAUGGGGGAAACCCUGAUGCAGCGACGCCGCGUGGAGGAUGACGGCCUUCGGGUUGUAAACUCCUUUUGUCAGGGACAAUGGUGAUGGUACCUGACGAAUAAGCCACGGCUAACUCUGUGCCAGCAGCCGCGGUAAGACAGAGGUGGCGAGCGUUGUUCGGAAUUACUGGGCUUAAAGGGCGCGUAGGCGGUGGUGUAAGUCUGGGGUGGAAUGCUACAGCUCAACUGUAGAGCUGCCUUGGAAACUGCAUUACUUGAGUCGGUGAGGGGAAGGCGGAAUUCCUGGUGUAGCGGUGAAAUGCGUAGAUAUCAGGAGGAAGGUCUGUGGCGAAGGCGGCCUUCUGGCACUUGACUGACGCUGAGGCGCGAAAGCGUGGGGAGCAAACAGGAUUAGAAACCCCUGUAGUCC